GUCUAUGGUCAUGCCACCCUGAACAAGCCCAUUGUCUGAUCUCAGAAGCUAAGCAGGGUCGGGCCUGGUUAGUACUUGAAUGGGAGACUGCCAAGGAAGACCAGAUGCUGUAGGCA
rnacentral:rRNA from 1 species